rnacentral:rRNA from 1 species
AGCCAUGCCGCGUGUGUGAAGAAGGCCUUUGGGUUGUAAAGCACUUUUGUACGGGAAGAAAAGCUUUCGGUUAAUACCCGGGAGUCAUGACGGUACCGUAGGAAUAAGCACCGGCUAACUUCGUGCCAGCAGCCGCGGUAAUACGAAGGGUGCAAGCGUUACUCGGAAUUACUGGGCGUAAAGCGUGCGUAGGUGGUUUGUUAAGUCUGAUGUGAAAGCCCUGGGCUCAACCUGGGAAUGGCAUUGGAUACUGGCAGUCUAGAGUGUGGGAGAGGGUAGCGGAAUUCCCGGUGUAGCAGUGAAAUGCGUAGAUAUCGGGAGGAACAUCCGUGGCGAAGGCGGCUACCUGGACCAACACUGACACUGAGGCACGAAAGCGUGGGGAGCAAACAGGAUUAGAUACCCUGGUAGUCCACGCCCUAAACGAUGCGAACUGGAUGUUGGGGACACUUAGGUCCUCAGUAUCGAAGCUAACGCGUUAAGUUCGCCGCCUGGGAAGUACGGUCGCAAGACUGAAACUCAAAGGAAUUGACGGGGGCCCGCACAAGCGGUGGAGUAUGUG